UGAGGAUGACGGCCUAUGGGUUGUAAACCKCUUUUUUCAGGGARGAAUAAAUGRCGUGUACCUGAAGAAUAAGSRUCGGCUAACUCCGUGCCAGCAGCCGCGGUAAGACGGAGGAUGCAAGUGUUAUCCGGAAUCACUGGGCGUAAAGCGUCUGUAGGUGGUUUAAKAAGUCAACUGUUAAAUCUUAABGCUCAACCUUGAAAUCGCMGUCGAAACUAUUAGACUAGAGUAUAGUAGGGGUAAAAGGAAUUUCCAAGUGGAGCGGUGAAAUGCGUAGAUAUGUGGGAAAGAACACCGAUG
rnacentral:rRNA from 1 species